UGAGGAAUAUUGGUCAAUGGGGGCGACCCUGACCCAGCGACGCCGCGUGGGGGAAGACGGCCUUCGGGUUGUAAACCUCUUUUGUACGGGAAGAAGGAAGUGACGGUACUGUACGAAUAAGUCCCGGCUAACUACGUGCCAGCAGCCGCGGUAAUACGUAGGGGACGAGCGUUGUCCGGAAUUACUGGGCGUAAAGGGCGCGCAGGCUGUGCUGCAAGUCAGCUGUUAAAUGUCUGGGCUUAACCCGGGCAUGCGGUUGAGACUGCGGUGCUGGAGUGCUGUAGAGGCAAGUGGAAUUCCCAGUGUAGCGGUGAAAUGCGUAGAUAUUGGGAAGAACACCGGUGGCGAAGGCGACUUGCUGGGCAGCAACUGACGCUGAGGCGCGAAAGCCAGGGGAGCAAACGG
rnacentral:rRNA from 1 species